UACGUAGGGGGCUAGCGUUGUCCGGAAUCAUUGGGCGUAAAGCGCGUGUAGGCGGCCCGGUAAGUCCGCUGUGAAAGUCGGGGGCUCAACCCUCGGAAGCCGGUGGAUACUGCUGGGCUAGAGUGCGGAAGAGGCGAGUGGAAUUCCUGGUGUAGCGGUGAAAUGCGCAGAUAUCAGGAGGAACACCAAUUGCGAAGGCAGCUCGCUGGGACGUGACUGACGCUGAGACGCGAAAGCGUGGGGAGCAAACAGG
rnacentral:rRNA from 1 species